rnacentral:rRNA from 1 species
GGUCCUACGGGGCGCAGCAGUGGGGAAUAUUGGGCAAUGGGCGCAAGCCUUACCCAGCAAUACCGCGUGAGUGAAGAAGGUCUUCGGAUUGUAAAGCUCUUUGAUCAGGGACGAACAGAUGACGGUACCUGAAGAACGAGCCCCGGCUAACUACGUGCCAGCAGCCGCGGUAAUACGUAGGGGGCAAGCGUUAUCCGGAUUUACUGGGUGUAAAGGGAGCGUAGACGGAAUUGCAAGUCUGAUGUGAAAAUCCGGGGCCCAACCCCGUAACUGCAUUGGAAACUGUAUUUCUAGAGUGUCGGAGA